CUCCCUCCCCCCACCCUACGUGCGCGAGCACGAGCCGCCGAGGCCUCCUAUUGGCUAUCGCGUCGCGGGAGCGCGCAACGCUUACAUAACCACCCCGCCCCCCCCAGCCCCGCGCGGCCGCCGCCUGGGCCAGGCGCCCGCCAGGCCGGCGGGAAGAGGCGCGGACACGCGCACCCGGCCCGCCGCGGGGGCGCGCCUGGCUCUGGGCGGGGCUGUAUUGUCCUCCUUCUGUGGUGGAGCAUAAUCAAAAUGGCUUCCAGCUGGUCCUCACUGGGGACGAGGAGACUCGAGGCCUUAGACGUGAGCUUUAGGCCAGGGAGGGCAGACCAAGUGGACACGGGAGGGGAAGCCUAAUUCAACCCCCCAGCGUGAGGUUCUGGAGAAACCCUCUUGUCCGGUGGCCCUCACGCAGCUCUCCUCAGGGUGACAGAGACAACCCACUUCCUCGCAGCAACCUCACUGUUUUAGGUGUCAGCGCUUCAGCCUCAGCCGGCCUCCCACCGGGCUCCUGCCAGGAGUACUGUGCGACCUCCGCCCCGGGGAGGAAGCAGCCCCCCAGAGCGAACUGCCCAACGCCAAGCUUCUACAACCCAAGCGAUCCUUCCCUCCCUGCGCUCAGUUAAAGAACACAGUGGGCGCCUGCUGUUUGAAGAAGGAUGCCCACGUCCGUGCAGUGGAAUCCACCUCGCACGUCCCAGUCGGCGUUAUUUUCUCCUUUUCCCUGUAUUUUCUUCCACUCUUGUAUUAGCAUAGGAAAAAAAAAAAAAAAAGCCUGAAUUCUAUUAUGCUACCACCGUAUCUCCAUUCCUGGCCAAACCGCUUGAGAAAGUGUCCAGGCCAGCUGUCCCUCCUCCCUCGCCUCCCACUCAUGCUCGAUCCGCCGCAAUCUGGCGCUGCGGGCUCCUGCGCUCCCCCAGGUCGCCGCCAGGCCCUGCUGGAGCCAGUGCGCGUCCCGCUUGAACUCCCUGCGACUUCUUGGUAGGUCACACUUCCUCUCAUCCUCCUCUGGCCUCAGCCCUCCCCCUCGCUGUUCCUUGGGGUUUGCUCUAGACCCUUUGCUGACUGUACUCCCUUUUCCCCGGGACAACUUCAUCCCCUUCCGUUAACAUCUGUCUGCUAAUGGUGCUCAAUUCUGUUAUUUCUAGGUCAGAUUUUUCCUUUAAUUUCCAACCUGUACAGCCAGCCAACUUCUGAACGUCUCCAUUUGGGUGUCCCAGGGACGCCUCAAAACUCAGCAGGCGACCACUAACACUCCUGGCUGGCGGGGCCUUCCCUGACCCGCCCUCUUCUUGGCCCGCCCUUCUUGCACUCAAUGGCUCCCCUCGGUGACAUUGCCCCGGGGCAUCACACAUUCAAUCAAUCUCUUGUUUAUUCCAUUUGUAAGUACCUACCAAAUCCCUCCACUUCUCUUAGCCUCUGGCUCUGGGUGGAGCUGCAUUUGGUGGGCUUUGGGUGGCCCUCUUUGGAGAGGAAGAGGCCGAAGACCAUAAACUUAAGACAAACCAAUCUAAGCAGGUUGAUCAGAGGAGGCAAGGGAAGCCCAGCGCUGCUUAGUUCAGAUCAACUGUUCCAGGGCUACUACAAUGCCCUCCAAACUAGCUUUACAUGUUAAGGUCCUGAGGCCCACGUUGUGGCAUGGUAGGCUAAGCUUCUGCCUGCAGCGCCGGCAUCCCAUGUGGGUGCUGGUUCCUGUCCUGAAUGCUCCUCCUCCAAUCCAGCUCUCUGCUAUGGCCUGGGAAAGCAGUAGAAGACGGCGCAAGUCCUUGGGCCCUUGUACCUACAUGGGAGACCUGGAAGAAGCUCCUGGCUCCUGGCUCGGAUCAGCACAGCUCCAGCCGUUGCAGUUAUUUUGGAGUGAACCAGCGGAUGGAAGAACUUUCUCUCUGUCUCCCCCUCUCUCUGUAACUUUACCUCUCAAAUAAAUAAAUCUUAAAAUAUA